GAGGGUUCAAAGCUAUGACUUCAAGCCAACACGUCCAUUUCGCAUUGUGAUACGUGGUGAAGAUAUUCUAGCUAACUUUUAUGAAGGACCACCAUUUAAAUUCAAGCAUUCCAUAAGGUGCCAGUUUAACAACUUUUUGCACCACCAUGUCGAGAAUAUCAUUGGGUCAUGUCUGGAGAGUAAGAAUGAUCAACUAAUGGGCCAUGUUCUUGAUGAGUGUAAACUUGUUACAAGAAUUUUGGAAGCAGAGAAGAACUCUGCUCUAUCGUCAAACUUAACUGAGAAUUGGACGGUCGCAUCGAUGCUAGGUUCCAGCAGAGGAGUCGUGCCUCCUUGAUUCCUUCACCGAGAUCAUCCAUUUACUCAACAACAGCUUCCAGCUUGCAAGACUACACUUGCGACUCA